rnacentral:rRNA from 1 species
GACGAACGCUGGCGGCGUGCUUAACACAUGCAAGUCGAACGGAAAGGCCCUGCUUUUGUGGGGUGCUCGAGUGGCGAACGGGUGAGUAACACGUGAGUAACCUGCCCUUGACUCUGGGAUAACUUCGGGAAACUGGGGCUAAUACCGGAUAGGAGCUCCUGCUGCAUGGUGGGGGUUGGAAAGUUUCGGCGGUUGGGGUUGGACUCGCGGCUUAUCAGCUUGUUGGUGGGGUAGUGGCUUACCAAGGCUUUGACGGGUAGCCGGCCUGAGAGGGUGACCGGCCACAUUGGGACUGAGAUACGGCCCAGACUCCUACGGGAGGCAGCAGUGGGGAAUAUUGCACAAUGGGCGGAAGCCUGAUGCAGCAACGCCGCGUGCGGGAUGACGGCCUUCGGGUUGUAAACCGCUUUCGCCUGUGACGAAGCGUGAGUGACGGUAAUGGGUAAAGAAGCACCGGCUAACUACGUG